AUUGAACGCUGGCGGCAGGCCUAACACAUGCAAGUCGAACGGUAACAGGAAGAAGCUUGCUUCUUUGCUGCCGAGUGGCGGACGGGUGAGUAAUGUCUGGGAAACUGCCUGAUGGAGGGGGAUAACUACUGGAAACGGUAGCUAAUACCGCAUAACGUCGCAAGACCAAAGAGGGGGACCUUCGGGCCUCUUGCCAUCGGAUGUGCCCAGAUGGGAUUAGCUAGUAGGUGGGGUAACGGCUCACCUAGGCGACGAUCCCUAGCUGGUCUGAGAGGAUGACCAGCCACACUGGAACUGAGACACGGUCCAGACUCCUACGGGAGGCAGCAGUGGGGAAUAUUGCACAAUGGGCGCAAGCCUGAUGCAGCCAUGCCGCGUGUAUGAAGAAGGCCUUCGGGUUGUAAAGUACUUUCAGCGGGGAGGAAGGGAGUAAAGUUAAUACCUUUGCUCAUUGACGUUAGCCGCAGAAGAAGCACCGGCUAACUCCGUG
rnacentral:rRNA from 1 species